rnacentral:rRNA from 1 species
AAAAACGACUCUCGGCAACGGAUAUCUCGGCUCUUGCAUCGAUGAAGAACGUAGCGAAAUGCGAUACUUGGUGUGAAUUGCAAAAUCCCGUGAACCAUCGAGUCUUUGAACGCAAGUUGCGCCCAAAGCCAUUCGGUUGAGGGCACGCCUGCCUGGGUGUCGUG